ACAUCAAUGCUGAUCAGUACCUAAUGCUACCACUGUUAGGGGGCCCAUGAGCUUCUCCGACACUAAUUUCCAAAACUGACUAGAGAAAUAUCAAAUACUAAAGUAUCAAUAAUGUACAAGUAAUGCUGUGCUUUUACAUGGUGGAAUAUGGCAAGUAAGCAACAAGACAAAUACAGAAUGUACAAGACAAAGUAGUUUUCAGCAGUUGCUGCAGCCUGUCUGAAGGACCACUUCACUGAGUCCCUCAAGGUGAUCAAUGCAUUCACUCAGCUCCUCACGGUAAGGAAGUCCCUUAAAGAAGUCCAUCCUGCCCUUCAUAUCAGCUACAAGCAGAUACAUUUACUCUUGAAAAAAUAUGACUGUUUCCAACAAAACUGAUCAAAUAUUCUUAACAUCUGCUUUGGCUAUUUAACCUACUGUGCUGUCUACCAUCAUGACUUCAUAAAUCAAGACAAACUCCACUACUUGUGAACAAACUCUAGCACUUCAAGAUCUCCUACAAAAAGGGAAGCAUGAACUCGCUGCCUGAGAAGCAAUGAAAACAACAAAAGCUUCUUAAAACAUUCCAGUCACUUCUUAUAUCACAGAACACUUUGAAGUUUAGAAUCAUGACAGCAGAGUGUGAUGCUUCAAUACAACUGCCUACCUCUGUGUGGUCUAUUACAAUGUAUUAAUGAAUCUAUUUUCAAGUCACUAAAUAAGACUGGUGAGAAAACACAAUUUAUGACAUGCAGUGAAAUAAAACAUUUCUUGCACCUCAUACAUUAGCUGCUGAUUCCUUCUGAGGGACAGGCAGGGACCAUGCUGGUUAGUCCACACCACACUCAGGUUAGGACCCCAAAACAAUGCUACACCCCUGCCUGCCUCCUCCACACCCCACUCAAGUUAGGACCCCAAAACAAUGCUACACCCCUGCCUGCCUGCCUCCACACCACACUCAAGUUAGGACCCCAAAACAAUGCUACACCCCUGCCUGCCUCCACACCACACUCAGGUUAGGACCCCAAAACAAUGCUACACCCCUGCCUGCCUGCCUCCACACCACACUCAGGUUAGGACCCCAAAACAAUGCUACACCCCUGCCUGCCUGCCUCCACACCACACUCAAGUUAGGACCCCAAAACAAUGCUACACCCCUGCCUGCCUGCCUCCACACCACACUCAGGUUAGGACCCCAAAACAAUGCUACACCCCUGCCUGCCUCCACACCACACUCAGGUUAGGACCCCAAAACAAUGCUACACCCCUGCCUGCCUCCACACCACACUCAAGUUAGGACCCCAAAACAAUGCUACACCCCUGCCUGCCUGCCUCCACACCACACUCAGGUUAGGACCCCAAAACAAUGCUACACCCCUGCCUGCCUCCACACCACACUCAGGUUAGGACCCCAAAACAAUGCUACACCCCUGCCUGCCUCCACACCACACUCAAGUUAGGACCCCAAAACAAUGCUACACCCCUGCCUGCCUCCACACCACACUCAGGUUAGGACCCCAAAACAAUGCUACACCCCUGCUUGCCUCCUCUACGCGCUGGCCGGCCAAAAGCACUACACCUCACCAAUUCUUUCUACCACCUUCCCUAAGUUUAUAUAUUUCACAACCUGUAAAUUAAUGAAAAUGCUGGAACUCAAAUCAUAUGAAUGUAUCUGCCACCUGAUAACUUUAUAGGAGACAAUGAUCUCUUUCAGGAGGCAUCAUCAUUACCAUUAUCAUCUUCAUCCUAUUCUCUGUGGGAAAUCAGGUAGGGUGCAGUGGGUGCAGUAAAAGCUAUGAACUUAAGAAAAGAAAGUUAAUUGAAGGCAAAAUGAUUGCCCAAUGAAAUGGUAUUUGUAUUUUUUUCUUACUUUAUGCCUGCCUGCCUACCUACCUGCACACACACACACCAGCAAUUGAGAGUUCAGCUUGUGAUCCAACCAUAGUGAAUGACACACACACACACACACACACACAUACACACACACACACAC